rnacentral:rRNA from 1 species
UUAACACUGAGGCGUGAUGACGAGGCACUACGGUGCUGAAGCAACAAAUGCCCUGCUUCCAGGAAAAGCCUCUAAGCAUCAGGUAACAUCAAAUCGUACCCCAAACCGACACAGGUGGUCAGGUAGAGAAUACCAAGGCGCUUGAGAGAACUCGGGUGAAGGAACUAGGCAAAAUGGUGCCGUAACUUCGGGAGAAGGCACGCUGACACGUAGGUGAAGUGAUUUACUCACGGAGCUGAAGUCAGUCGAAGAUACCAGCUGGCUGCAACUGUUUAUUAAAAACACAGCACUGUGCAAACACGAAAGUGGACGUAUACGGUGUGACGCCUGCCCGGUGCCGGAAGGUUAAUUGAUGGGGUCAGCGCAAGCGAAGCUCCUGAUCGAAGCCCCGGUAAACGGCGGCCGUAACUAUAACGGUCCUAAGGUAGCGAAAUUCCUUGUCGGGUAAGUUCCGACCUGCACGAAUGGCGUAAUGAUGGCCAGGCUGUCUCCACCCGAGACUCAGUGAAAUUGAACUCGCUGUGAAGAUGCAGUGUACCCGCGGCAAGACGGAAAGACCCCGUGAACCUUUACUAUAGCUUGACACUGAACAUUGAGCCUUGAUGUGUAGGAUAGGUGGGAGGCUUUGAAGUGUGGACGCCAGUCUGCAUGGAGCCGACCUUGAAAUACCACCCUUUAAUGUUUGAUGUUCUAACGUGGACCCGUAAUCCGGGUUGCGGACAGUGUCUGGUGGGUAGUUUGACUGGGGCGGUCUCCUCCUAAAGAGUAACGGAGGAGCACGAAGGUUGGCUAAUCCUGGUCGGACAUCAGGAGGUUAGUGCAAUGGCAUAAGCCAGCUUGACUGCGAGCGUGACGGCGCGAGCAGGUGCGAAAGCAGGUCAUAGUGAUCCGGUGGUUCUGAAUGGAAGGGCCAUCGCUCAACGGAUAAAAGGUACUCCGGGGAUAACAGGCUGAUACCGCCCAAGAGUUCAUAUCGACGGCGGUGUUUGGCACCUCGAUGUCGGCUCAUCACAUCCUGGGGCUGAAGUAGGUCCCAAGGGUAUGGCUGUUCGCCAUUUAAAGUGGUACGCGAGCUGGGUUUAGAACGUCGUGAGACAGUUCGGUCCCUAUCUGCCGUGGGCGCUGGAGAACUGAGGGGGGCUGCUCCUAGUACGAGAGGACCGGAGUGGACGCAUCACUGGUGUUCGGGUUGUCAUGCCAAUGGCACUGCCCGGUAGCUAAAUGCGGAAGAGAUAAGUGCUGAAAGCAUCUAAGCACGAAACUUGCCCCGAGAUGAGUUCUCCCUGAGACUUAGAGUCUCCUGAAGGAACGUUGAAGACGACGACGUUGAUAGGCCGGGUGUGUAAGCGCAGCGAUGCGUUGAGCUAACCGGUACUAAUGAACCGUGAGGCUUAACCUUACA